rnacentral:rRNA from 1 species
CCUACGGGUGGCAGCAGUGAGGAAUAUUGGUCAAUGGACGAGAGUCUGAACCAGCCAAGUAGCGUGAAGGAUGACUGCCCUAUGGGUUGUAAACUUCUUUUAUAUGGGAAUAAAAUGUUCCACGUGUGGGAUUUUGUAUGUACCAUAUGAAUAAGGAUCGGCUAACUCCGUGCCAGCAGCCGCGGUAAUACGGAGGAUCCGAGCGUUAGCCGGAUUUAUUGGGUUUAAAGGGAGCGUAGGUGGAGUGUUAAGUCAGUUGUGAAAGUUUGCGGCUCAACCGUAAAAUUGCAGUUGAAACUGGCAGUCUUGAGUACAGUAGAGGUGGGCGGAAUUCGUGGUGUAGCGGUGAAAUGCUUAGAUAUCACGAAGAACUCCGAUGGCGAAGGCAGUUCACUGGACUGCAACUGACACUGAGGCUCGAAAGUGUGGGUAUCAAACAGGAUUAGAUACCCGUGUAGUC